GACGAAGGGGGCUAGCGUUGUUCGGAAUUACUGGGCGUAAAGCGCGUGUAGGUGGUUGUUUAAGUCUGUUGUGAAAGCCCUGGGCUCAACCUGGGAAUUGCAGUGGAUACUGGGCGACUAGAGUGUGGUAGAGGGUAGUGGAAUUCCCGGUGUAGCAGUGAAAUGCGUAGAGAUCGGGAGGAACAUCCAUGGCGAAGGCAGCUACCUGGACCAACACUGACACUGAGGCACGAAAGCGUGGGGAGCAAACAGG
rnacentral:rRNA from 1 species